UACGGAGGGGGCUAGCGUUGUUCGGAAUUACUGGGCGUAAAGCGCACGUAGGCGGCUUUGUAAGUUAGAGGUGAAAGCCCGGGGCUCAACUCCGGAAUUGCCUUUAAGACUGCAUCGCUCGAAUUGUGGAGAGGUAAGUGGAAUUCCGAGUGUAGAGGUGAAAUUCGUAGAUAUUCGGAAGAACACCAGUGGCGAAGGCGACUCACUGGACACGUAUUGACGCUGAGGUGCGAAAGCGUGGGGAGCAAACAGGG
rnacentral:rRNA from 1 species